UUAAUAUUUUAUAUUGUUUAGGUCUCAUUUUUAAGUUGGCUCUUUGCCAGUGGAGAAGCAUGGGCUGAGGAGGAUGAAUUUAUAGCAAAGGAUAGGAGGCGUGAGCAGGAGUUGCAGGCUACUUCCUGGACUGAGUAACAGGCUACAUACAAUAGGUGGCAGACAGUCAAAAAAAGAGUUUGUUUUUGAAAAUGGAGUUGUAGAGCAUUCCUCUCAUAAGGUGUUUCCCAAAGAGCUGCACAGUAAGUUGUAAAAAGAGACAGAAAGAACUGUAAAGAACUCUCAUCAGUCAGUAAAGUUUUGCAGGAACUCCUGUCACAACGAGGAGUGUUAGUGAGAUCCUUAGGAGGUAUUUGGCAAGAGUUUGCAGAGUGUUUUGUCAAAACAGAGAGAAAGGGAGGCAAGAGCUGACACAGAUAGCAAGAGCUGCUAAAGGUUAUGAGUGAGUUCUUUGGGUAAGGACCCACAGAUGUUUGCUGUCACAACAGAGUCAUAAGAGUGUUAUUCUGCAAGCCUACCACUCUAGGGCUGACAUCAAAACAACAUGAAAAGGAAGAAACUGCAGAAGAGGUUCAAGGGUCAACUAUUGUGCCAGGACUUUACCAUGAAGUUCUGGAGAAACAAAGAGCAAAAUUGACAGGGGAACUGUGAGCAAACAUUCUCUCAGGAGUGCUGUGGCAUGCCCUUGUCUCUGUGAAAUCACCCUUUAUCUUCUGCGAGUCUUUAUUUAUCCAAUGCCCCGGGAGUCUCCGUCUGCCUUCUUAAACCUUCCAGUGCUUGGAAAGUAUAAUGCGAAUGUAAUGUUCCAGGGGUUCAUGGAAUGUAGAAUUCAGCGUACCUGUGUGGCAUUUUUCUGUUUAUCAUCCAUCUGGUCCUACUUAUCUUCAGGGUUACAAUGCUGGCUAAUAUAAUACUUUACAUCAUGAACACCUGUGUGUUGAUACUGUGAUAUCACUUGCAAUUCACAUAUCAUCUACACUUGGGGCAAUAAUCGUUAUUUACAUGAUAAUUUGCAUAAAUUCAGCUUGUUUUAAGCUGUGGGGAACUGUAUAAAUCUGCAUAAUACCUCAUGUAUUGUAAGGAUGUUCAAAGUUUGGUGCAAAAUUCAGAAAUGGUUGGUUGUGACAUAAUAUCACCACAUAGAUGGAGUAAUCAUGUUAUUAUUAGGACCCAAGCCCUAAAGAACUUCAAACCACGUAGUCCCAACAAGGCCCAGUAUAGGGGACAACCAUCAAACCAAGCUCUAUAUUUUUAUAUAUAUUGCUUAUAUUAGAUAUAGAUUGGCAGGUGACCCAGCCUCUUGGGCAAAACACAUUGACCAUAACACAGGCUAAGAUAAUUCAACAGACAGUUAACGUAAGUUACAUUAACAUAGAUAAACAACUCUAACAAUGGAAAAAAAGGACACAACACCGCACAGGCAGUAGAAGAUUUGUUAUGAAAAUUAUUCCAUCUCUGUACGAUAGAUAUCUUUGUACAAGAACAUUGUUGUUCAGCACUUCCAAAACAGUCAACCUUUCCCGGGAUUUAUGUGCCAAUUUCUGUCUGAAUGCCAUCUCCUAGCAAGUUAGGAAAGCUCAGGAGCUCUACUGAGGCCUGAUGAAGUUAGGAAUAGUUUCCUAAAUUUGGAAAAUUGAUAAAAUGUUUUUAUUCCUAUUCCUGAGACUAUGACCAAAUUUGCAUCACUCUGAGAUUUUUGAGACACUUAGGGCCAUUUUCUUAGUCACUAUUUUUCUCUUACUGACCCUUAUGUGCUCCUCUAGUGUGGGCAGCGUGUAAUGGAAACCACUUAAAACUCAAAGCUGACAUUUUAUUUAAAAUGCUCCAAUGAGAAUAAAGAACAUGACU